GAAGUGGCAGCUGACCCGGAAGUGGCGGCGGCGCAGGGCGAUGGCGGAGAAGUUCGACUCGCUGGAGGAGCAGCUGGAGAAGUUUGUGGAGAACAUCCGGCAGCUCGGCAUCAUCGUCAGCGACUUCCAGCCCAGCAGCCAGGCCGGGCUCAACCAGAAGCUGAAUUUUAUGGUUACCGGCUUGCAAGAUAUUGACAAGUGCCGACAGCAACUUCACGAUAUAAGCGUACCUUUAGAGGUUUUUGAAUACAUAGAUCAAGGCCGUAAUCCCCAGCUUUACACUAAAGAGUGUUUGGAAAGGGCUUUGGCUAAAAAUGAACAAGUAAAAGGCAAAAUUGACACUAUGAAGCUCCCACAGCCUGGCAGGGAAGUCAGAACUAUUCUCUCCUUCCGCUGUGGUGCACCAAGCAGAUGAGUUGCUGAGCUGUUGCAUCGGGGAAGGGACAGCAGUUGCUCAGAGGAACUUGGCUCACAUCAGAGUUGCUCUUGAGGCUUCAAGAGAAGAGCUAGGAAGCACUGGGGGAAAUGGUGGAAAGGGGGCUGAUUCAGGCUUCUUAGUUUACAAACUUCAGGACAUGGUUCAGCACACUUUCAAUUAAAAAUUUAAAAGCUUAUUGAUUCAAGAGCUGACUAAGGUCUUCCCAGAGGACAUGGCCAAGUACAAAGCUAUUCGAGGAGAAGAACCUCCUCCUUAAGACUGCCUUUGGUAUGUUCUAAGAUGCCUAAUAUUUUCAUGGAACUGAUAAUCUUUUGUGAAAAUGUUGAGCUCACUGGACAGAAGAAGUUCUUCAGUCUUCCUACUAGGCAUGUUCAUGUAUGUGGUUAUGGGCUGUGAGGGAGCCUGAUUACCACGCACUGUUUUUGGGUGGUUUUGUUUUGAUUUGGAAGCCAUAAUGUUUUCCUACAGACUUUUAUGCAUCUAAAGAUUGCAUUUGAAACUUCCUGUACUACUGUGUUCUUUCCACAAAAGUUGUUUGAGGCAUGUGUGAGACUUGCAAGCUAUUGUACGUCAUUUCCCACAAAGUACAUUUUUAGUAUGGAAAAGAAUUAUGAUCAAGUGCCAGACUGGAUAAAUACACUUCUUUUGGAAGCUAGUUAUACUUGAUUAUUAAAAUAGGCUACAGCCUAUCUCAUGUGGUGGGUUGGGGAGGAAGGGCGGGAAUGAGAAUUGACUACUAUUAACUAGCUCUUUCCUGAUAGUUUAUAAAAGCAUGACUGGACAGGACUUCUUUCUUUUUACUAAAUUUCUGCUGAAAUGGAAAUCCAUUGUCAGGUGCUGUACAUCCAUGUAACUUUGUCAACCACAACCAAAAAGUCCCCUUCAGUCCUGUGAAUGGAAGGACAGGUGGCUGAGGAUGGAAAAAUUGAACAUUUUCAAGGAUGGCCUCCCAGCCGUGCUUGCAUUUUGUUCAGCAUUUGAUGCAGAAACAAAUCUUUUAUUAAGUGUAUUGCAUUUUCUUUGGGCAAAAUAUAUAAUAAACACUUUGAAAUGAAUAUUGUAGCUAGUUCUUCUAGUAUGUUUCUGUUCCAUACCAUCUGUGACAGUCUGUACCUUGGGGGAACAUAUUGUAUACUCUCCAUAUUAUUCAUUUUCAUAUAAUUGUGAUCUUACAUAUAAAGCAUGCCUUGUACGGUAUCAGGGGAAAGGUUAUGAUCUGCUGAGUCAUUUCUCUAUCCAUAUAUAUGUAUAUCAUUAAUGCAUAUGAAGUUAUGAGAAUUGUAUUGUAUGGUGGUCACUAAAACAUGCUGUAAGUUGUGGAAUCAGCCAGAUAUUCGCUCCCAGAGGCAACAACAAGGAAAGUAACCAAUGCCCAGGCGGGGUGUCAAAUAACCCAUCAACAGCCAUUGUCUAGCAAGGGAGCUACAAUGCAAUGACUCACCUACAUGAGGCCCCACCAGGGGAAUUGCUCAGCCUUCUUGGAGACUCCGCAAUGCCCCACAGACAUGCCUGGACUCGUGUUCUAUAAGCAUAUGGACUGAGAGUAUAAAACAGGCAGAGUGGACAUAUUCUGGGGCCUUCUCCUGCCCCCACCUAUGCUGCAAGCAACCAAGACACUGAGAAGAAGAUGACAAGACUCCAACACAGAAGAUUAGCCCAGGCUUAAAGGACAAACCUGUAUAUUGAGGACUGCAAUAUCCAGUGGGGUGAGGAAAAACUGCUUAAUCUAGUUGCUGCCCAGUCUAAUAAGGUUGAGAGUUUAGACUGUAUGCUUAUAUUUUAUUUUAUUUUAUUUUAUUUUAUUUUGGUAACCACUCUAACUUGUUAUGCUUUGACUUAUAAUCACUUAAAAUCUGUCUUUAUAGUUAAUAAACUUUGUUUGUUUUUGUUCUACCUGAA